UUUGGCCAAAGGAGACUUCGGGGCCCAGAGCGUUCCUGUCACCAAAGUCUGCCCUGGCUUCUGCAGAACUUUGGUCAUCUAGGUGAGGGACCACAGGCCAGCCAGCUGUUCCCUCCAGACGUCUCCGGAAACCUCUGAGCCCCUUGGAAGGUAACAAACUCAGACCAAGGAUUUGGUCUUUGCCUGUUGGAUGGCCAGGAAAUAACAGCUUUGAAGAGGCUGCUCAAGGUGGCAGCAACCCUCAACCAUAGCAGAAAGGGAGCUGACUGGUGCAUAUUUCAGCUUCCUCCACCUUGAGUGAGGCAAUUCUGAGAUGUGCCGUCCACCUUCUCCCAGAACUCCCCAGUGGAAUUGUGAUCCAGUUGCCCAUGGUCACUGCUAGGCUGCUUCUGGAGAAACCCAAAAGUAGACUCUUGUAUGAAGAACAAAGACACACAGCUUUAGCCUGGGGAUGGACACCUCCCAGCAGCCCUGGCUGCCACUCACUGCUGUGCUGCAGCCUGAGCCCUCAGAGGGGAAGAUCUGCUGAAGAGAAGGAGAAGUCCUUGCAGUCCCUUGGCAAAGCAGGUGCUACCUCUGUGGCUCUGGAGAGCAGAGAAUUCACUGAAGGACAUGAGAUGCCCAGCAGCUCCCCCAUGCCAACCUACCCCAAUGCUCCCAACUCAAGAGAAGAGAGGGCCUCACCCUGAGGAGCCAUGGAUGAAUGCUUAUGGAAGGACAGAAUGAAUGAUUGAGAUAACAUCGUCCUGAACACAUCAGGCAAGAUACCUGAAGGAAAUAGGAAGCAUGUCCAGAGGGGACCUGAAGAGGCAUCCAUGGAGGGACAGUUGACUGAGCUGUAAAGAGGGGAUGUGGAAGCACCAGGGACCCAGCAAUAGCACACAGCGUCACUCCACCUCUGCGAAGGGGGCUAGAAGAGGGCACGGUCUUACUGGAAUGGGGUAGGAGCUGGACUGUGGAGGGUGGGCCACUCUGCAUGGCAGGAGCUAUAGGACCCAUGGUCACCACCCAGCACAUGGGGAUCACUCCUAUUGGCUUCGUUGCCUGUCUUCCUCAGGGCGCUGUGAGAUCCUUAAUAAACCAGGUUUUGCUAAACUCUAGACCACCCCAAAUUAAGCACCAGGUCUUCCAUUGAGUAAGUCUUAGAUAACUAAUUAAUUGAGUCCUCUUGAUUUCCUAAGACCACUCACUCCUGGAUGGUGAUCUCUUUACCUACCAUGGGCUUCCCCCAAAAGAGACAUCAAGGACCGAGCUGAUCACCCCAUCCCAAAAUGGCUACACUCAACGCAACAUUCAAUUUCCACUGGAUGUGCCCCUCUCCAAAUGGGGUUCAGGGCUCUGGAUCCUGCCUCUCAAACUCAAAGAGCAGCAUCACUGAGUGCACACACAGAUAAACACAAUGAGUUACCGCCGAAAGUUAGGACUCCAGUAGAGAACUCAGAGAAUUUGGGAGUCUGAGAUGACUGGGACAGCCAAAGAAAAGCUCUUCCGGAUUUCCAUUCCAUCUUUCUGCCUUCUUGGGGUUAAUAUGGAAAUAGGGAACCAGGUUCAAUGUCUAAAAUCCUUCAGUUCAAUGUCUCAAGAGGAAGGGUUAAACACACAAGGCCGUCUUCUUGUGAAAGAAUGAGUGGAUUAUGUCACCCUCAUGUGUAGAACUCUUUAGUGGGUCCCCAUUCUACCUAGAACUAAACCUAAGCUCUCUCUGUGGUCAGCAAGGCCCUUGAGCAUCUGGAUCCUGCCUAAUUCCCCUUCCUCACCUUACUCCACAUCCCCUCCAUUCACUGUCCUUCUCCGCAGCUACUUGUCUUUUGUCUCCAAAUAUCCCACCCUCACAUCUCAGGACUUAGUGUCGUCUGUUCUCUUUGCAUGAAGUGCUGUUCCCCCAGACUAUCUCAUUCUGCCUCUUUCUUGUUACUCAGAUAUCAACUCAAGGGCACCGCUUUGCAUGGUCUUCCCUGAACCUAGCUAAGGAAUGUGCUGCCUCCUAGUCAUGCUCUACCACGUUCCUUUACUUUUUUGCCAUCACAGCACUUACCAAGACCUCACAUUGUUUUAUUGAUUUUGGUAGAUAUUUAUGGUCUGACUUUAAUUUGUAAGAGCAGGCUCAAUUUGCCUUUGACAUUAUCAUAUCCUCAGUGUGAGAAGUGCCUGGCACGCAGUAGGCACUUAAUAAAUCAUUGUUGAGCAGUUAUUAACUGUAAUGAUGAGAACUAAUGUUUAAUAACCACUCAUUGUAUACUGGGAGAGAUGGUACUUUGGGGGGAAUUUGAACUUCAGAUUCCUGUGUCAUCCAUAUUUGCUGUGUGUUUUGCCUAGCCUACUGAACCUCUCUGAGUGAAAUGGGCAUAAAAUCAGCCCUUUCUUCAAGGAAGUGAGAAUGCAAAGGACAUUGGAGUUGAGAAAGUCAACUGGAUUUUUCAUACUGACAGUUCUCUCAUUCAGACUUUCCAAGCUUCUUUGAAAUGAGUGUUUUCGUCCCAUUUUACAGAUAAGAAUACCGAUGCUCAGCGCAGUCGACUGAACCCCUGGAAGUCACACAUACUGAAAGUGGCAAAGUGGGAUCUGCCUCUGCUCUGUCUGAUGCUAACAGGACUGCUGAGGUCUCCCCUUCACCUCGCCUCAAGUUGACAUUCAGCCCCUGGAAAUAGACCUCUAAGCCAGCCUUUCUUGCUAGUUUGGUUUUAGCCUCUCCUGGCCUCAGCUUUGCCAUCUGUGAAAUAUGUGAGUGGUCUAGAUAGUGCCUGAAACCUACCAGCUCCAAGUCUAUGGCCCACGGAUGGGCUGUGAGGAAAAACAAGGCUGAGGCUGGUUUUCGCUCCAUUCCUGGAAUAUCUGGUCAUCCUUCCAGGGUUCUUCAUGGCAGGGAAACAAAAUAAACAACUGCAGAACAUGAGGUUCAGGAGAUUUAAGUCUGAGUUCCGAUGUUGGCUUUGGGUGCCUCUAACCAACCACAAAUCUAUCCCAAGCCCAAGGCAGGCUGGUCUUACUCAACAUUUAUGGGGUCUUGCAGGGCUUAUGAGUGAGCUCAUGUGGGUGGGCUGUGGGUACCACAGGACCAGCACAGAUUACUCCAGCACAUUGCCCAGCCACGAGACAGAAUUUCCCUCUUACGGAUCCACUGAAUAGCCCUGGCCUGUGGAUUUACUGUAAAGAUGCAAAAACCCUGAGGCAUUGUCAGCCAAACCUCAGCCCUGGCCAUAGUUAGGUUGACAACAAGGGAGGCAGCAGGAGAGGGAGAGAAAAGGGACUCUCAUCGUGGAACUGGGGCAGUGGUGGGCAGGGGCUGAUGCAGGAGGGGUGCCAUGGCCUACCUGCUCUUCACCCAUGGUCCUUACACAGACCUGAUCCUGCUAAUUCUGACUCAGCUUUCACAUUCAGCCUGCGGACACUCAAUUUUUAGUAAUAAUCAGUCUCCUGAUAAUUUACUAUACAGAAAAAUAAAUUUUUAAAAGAUAUUAAUAGUUGGCAUCAGAGUCACUUCACUUCAUUUAUUCAUUUUUACAACAAACAUCUAUUGAGCCCCUGGGAUGUGCUUGCGCUCUUUUGGGCUAUGCAGAUUUAACAGGAAAGAUAACAAAGUUCCUGUCCUACUCAAGUUUCCAUUCUGAUGCAGAGAAAGACAAUUAUAAAUCAUAAAAUAUGUAU